GAUGAACGCUGGCGGCGUGCCUAAUACAUGCAAGUCGAGCGAACGGACGAGAAGCUUGCUUUUCUGAUGUUAGCGGCGGACGGGUGAGUAACACGUGGAUAACCUACCUAUAAGACUGGGAUAACUUCGGGAAACCGGAGCUAAUACCGGAUAAUAUUUUGAACCGCAUGGUUCAAAAGUGAAAGACGGUCUUGCUGUCACUUAUAGAUGGAUCCGCGCUGCAUUAGCUAGUUGGUAAGGUAACGGCUUACCAAGGCAACGAUGCAUAGCCGACCUGAGAGGGUGAUCGGCCACACUGGAACUGAGACACGGUCCAGACUCCUACGGGAGGCAGCAGUAGGGAAUCUUCCGCAAUGGGCGAAAGCCUGACGGAGCAACGCCGCGUGAGUGAUGAAGGUCUUCGGAUCGUAAAACUCUGUUAUUGGGAAGAACAUAUGCGUAAGUAACUGUGCACAUCUUGACGGUACCUAAUCAGAAAGCCACGGCUAACUACGUG
rnacentral:rRNA from 1 species